rnacentral:lncRNA from 1 species
CGCUACAAGAACCGGGAAUUACAAAUUAUGCACAUGCUGGACCAUCCAAAUAUUGUUGCUCUUAAGCACUACUUCUUUUCAACUACAAAUAAGGAAGAGGUGUACCUAAACCUUGUAUUGGAGUUUGUACCUGAGACCGUUAAUCGUAUUGCAAGGCAGUACAACAGGAUGAACCAACGCAUGCCUCUCAUAUAUGUGAAACUCUUCACUUACCAGGUGUGUGCACUUCUGUUUGGCCAGCUAGGAAUCAUCUGACUGUAUUAGUUUCUUUAAACUGAAAGCUCAAUCAUAUUUAAUAAUGGAAAUAAAUCAUGUUGUUAUUUUGAAAUGAUAAUAUAAGUUCAAUUUGUAUAGUUGCUGAUUCAAACAUUGUUUGUGUUAUUUCUCUCAGUACUUUUUGGAGAUUAAGCACACUCAUGGGGCCUAUUAACUCAUCAUGCCAGAUUAAUCUUUUGUUGAUUCAAACAUUCCUUAUGUGUUAUUUCUCUCAGUACUUUUUGGAGAUUAAGCUCACUUAUGGCGCCUAUUAACUCAUCGUGCCAGAUUAAUCUUUUGUCCACUGAAAAGUGCCAUGUAGGUUUGAGGAUCUUGUUUCAUGUACUGAAGCAUGCCUCUUAUGUAAAAAAUGAAGACUAACAGCCAUUUUGUGUCCAUUGCUCUGCCCAGCUAGCAGUGUGGCAGGUAGUGUUUUAUUUGAUGCUUGUGCUUAAGACAUGCCAAGGCAUCUGUUGAUGUCAUUAGGAGUCAAGUGAUUGAUACCAUUGUUCACCUUCCUGGUCCGUACUGGUGUAUCGUUCGGCUGUCGAUAUGCUACGUACCAAAUCAUAUCGACGUACCGACACAUGAUAUAGUGGAGGGUACCAACAAACCGAUAUAUACCGCCAUAUUAGUCCCCUGUUGGACGUGCACGUACCACCCAUAUAGGGUGGUACACCACGGUAUGACGAAUCUUGAUUGAUACCAUGUGAAAAACCAUGACCCUCAUGUCUCCAUUGUUUUGCCCAGAUAGUAGUAUGACAGGCUAUCUUCUGUUUGAUGGUCGUCUAAGACAUGCCAAGACUUCUGUUGAUGCCUUUAGGAGUUGAAAUGGUUGACAAGAACCUGCCAACUUGACCUAAGCAGGACAUAACAUGUUAUCCCGAUUGGAUACAUAAAUUGGACCCAGAUCAAGCAUGCUUCAUCAUGUGAAUGCUGAGGUCAGGUGUGUAAAUGGAUCCAACAGGAUCCUAAUUUAUCUCUCCCCCACUUCCUUAAUGUAUGAAGCUGCAUAGAUUUGUUGAAAGUGAUGUGCUUGUAACUUGUUUACCACAUAGUUUAUACCUUGGCAGUGACGAGUGGGCAUUGGAUAAUGUUAAUUAUUAGUGCAUUGUGACAAUCAGCAGUAAUCAACAUGUACAAAUGCAGCAAAUAUAAUGCAUCAAUUGUGGCUGGAAUCUCACUGGCACAUAAUUGGCAUAUGAUAUGCAUUACUUAGACCUUAUUCUAAAUAUAUGUUGGACAGGUAAAGCAUAUCAUUUGAGCUCAAAUUCGCACUUGCAUGAGACUUUUUUUUUUUUUCAAAAUGAAAAGUCUAUUAUGUGUGCAAAACUGGAGGAAGUACAGCAGUAGUCGAUGUUGUCAACCAUGGACAUAUGAGACUGCUAUUGUUGAGAAGACAAUUUUGUCAAUUUUGGUAGUCUUAAGUGUCUUGCACAUACUAGUGUCCCAGUUGAGCUGUCAAUGCUAAAUUAUCUAGAAUUAAGAGUUGGUUUUGGCAUCCGUGAUGUCACGGACUUAGUUGGUUUUGCCUAAGUCGUGUGGCACCCUUGCGUGACCGUCCGCAAAGGUCAGCCUCCCCGAAGCCUCCCAUGUCCCUUAGGACCCAUAAAAGAGAGAACGGGUUAGAGAAAACGUCUCAUUCGGGAUCCACAAGCAAACAUUUCCGAAAACACAUCAUAGACAAUGCAAAUUACAAACAGACUUUAUAAGCUCUGAACAGUUGCACAACAAAGGGUAAAAUGGUCCAUUACAGACCGAUAAUCUCUCACAUAUGUCCACAUGACACAACCUUUAUUUACAAGCCUAAAGCGGCCACCAACCUAACUAAAAUGAGACUAUUAAGCCUUCGGCCGUCCCUCUACAUACUGUACAAAGCAUGAACAUACCAAAAGACACGGACAUACAUAAGCAGUACAUCAAACAUCUUGUUUAGAAGUUUGUCCGUGACAUUCUCCCCCACUUAUUCCUUCGACGUCCUCGUCGAAGCCUUUGUCGACACUGCAACUCCUCGCCUUUGCUGAGUCUUCAAUCUUCUGCUCCAGUUGCAAUGUGUCUCCUGGCUCCCAGUUGCUCUCCGCUUUUGCUUUCGAGUAGUCGAACUUUUGAUCCGCCAUGCUGCUUCAACUCGCCAAUGACUCUGACUCUAGUGUGGGGUUGGCUGAGUUGUGUUGAUCCCUGUUGGUUCAUACGGAUCCUCCAGAUGAAGGAAAAGACCAUCCUUACUACGCCAGUCUCUCAAAUGCUUCAUGCUGCUUGAACUGGGUGGAUGCUUGUUGGAGCUUUAACGAGCAUCGUCUCACAAACUUCUGAAGUUUUGGGUCCUUCCUCCACAAAAUUUGCUUAUUGACUCUUCUUUCACUUAGUUGCCACAUCCAAGUAGGUUCGCAUCACUUCCGCUUUCGAUUGGCAUUUCGUUGGGAAAUGAAGCGGACAAUCUACUCUCAGUAGCAUUAAUCACCGUUGGUGAGGAUUUGACAACUAUUGUCUUCCAUUAUCUUCGAAGGGCCUUUGAGCUUGUGCAGAGCUCCUCUGCUGGAUAGAUAAGAGAAUUGGGGUACUCGGUUUCGCCCAUUCUCUUAAGGGUUGAGAAGGCAAAGGUUACUUGACUUCGCCCGUCUCCUCGAGGUUGUACUCCAUGCAUCGAGCUGGUUACUAGCCUUCGCCUGCUCUUUUCUCACACUUCUGAAGCACUUGAAGUGUUUGCACCCCUUGCGUUGAGUUAGUUACUGUGAUUCACCUUCUCAAUGCCAUCGAACUUCUGGAAUGCAGGAAGUUUUCAACCCAACUUGGAGUAAUUCUCUCAUAGGUUUGGUCGUCUCUGGGAUUGUACCGUCUACUCCAUCAACCCUGUCGCCUACUCCACUGAGUAGCAAAGGUACAGCACCGCGUACUGCCUGCUUCGUUCCUUGGUUAUGCACUCUUGCAUGACCCGAAGUCCUUCACUUUCGGCUAUCUUGAUGAGAAGCUCAUUGACACCGGUCCUACGAAGUUCCUUGGCCUCUGCCCUUCAGCCUUGUCUCGGUACUUGGAGUUUGCCUCUGCAUGCUCCACCUCCUCGGCCCCUUUCACGACCAAGCGCUCUCCCUCCAUGAGAGCAAGGGAUCAAUGACUUUCACGGAAGUCCCGCCUCUGCGGUACCAUGGCGUUGCCAUGCCCAUGGCACUACUAUCCGUCGCGCAUUCAUUUUCUUUACAAUCAGUAGAUAUGCCUUUGUGGCAGGGUCUGCAGUACCGAACUGUACCGCCCGGUACGGGCGGUACAUACCGGUCCGACAGGUUGCCGGUACGCGGACCGCCUGUUACCGGUCCGAGUGCACUGUAGCACUGCUACAGUGCUACAGUACUCGGCACACCUGAGUGUACCGCUCGGUAUACCGUACCGUAUCGGUACCGAGCCCAGGUCGAAAUACCGGUACGGUAUGGUAUUGCGAACCUUGCUCUGUGGCACUCCUCCGAGUCCACCUCCAUUCUAACUGAUGCUUGAUUUUGGGUAGCUAAGUCCCUCUGGACUCGUCGUCGCUUCCUCGCCCCUUUCGACCCCCUGCUUCAACACCUCUGUGUUCUCCAAGCAGCUCCCUUUUGGUCGAUGGAAAGACAUACUACAACUCCCAUGCAUGGCCUCUGCCAUCGCAUUAUAGGGUUUGCACCGAUUCUGUUCUCCUUAGCUUCCUUGGUAGCAACGUUCGUUUACUCGACCUUGUCCUCUGACUUGUCGGGCUCCCUUAAGCGAAUAUGAGCUCUGGAGCAGUCCAACUCUCCAGCUGCUUCGAUCAUACCUCUGUAUGAUCAAGUCCCUCCCAUGGGACUCACUGGUACUUGCAUUCGAACUUUUCCCUUUGUGGAACCCAACCCCCAUAUGUUGAUGACCAAGGUUUUCAUCCGAUGCAAAAUUCGAUGCACACACGGAAGACCCGCCUCUGCAGUACCAUGGCCUUCACUCCUUGAAUCCAUAGCCCUUUUUACCGUCUUGUUGUUCACCGAAGUGGAGCUUCCAGUAGCUCCCGAUCAUACCUCCGAAUGAUCUAGUCCCUCACGGGACUAUGUUGUGUGUAUUGCAUUGCCACAAAUUGUUCCACCACGAUCCGCUGCACCAUGUCGCCUCCUAGUGACAUUUCUAUUGCAUUCUGAUCCUUGUGGGAUAAACUCGAAUUGUGAACCCUUCAUGUGUGGCCUCUGCCAAUACAUCGCAGGGUCUCUUCCACCUUCGAUUUUGUUCGCUCCUUUAGCAAUCGAUCUUCAUCCACCCUUUCUUGGGUCACACCUAGAUGAAGCACCGCUCUAGGACAGUUCGUCGCCUAGUAGCUCCCGAAGUCGCCCGACUUCGCUGCAAUUAGUGCACCAUUGUCUGGAUCCUGGGCCUCUGCCCCUACCAGCAAAAUCUUCGCCGUGCACCGCUUCCUUCAUGGCAACUUGAAUGGCAACAUUGUGGCAUAUUCUUCAAGAGUACCCGCCUCUGCGUCCUCUUGCCCCAUGCUAAGGCCUUCUGAACCCAACUUCGCCUCCGCAAAUUGAGUCGCCUUAGUUCCUCCAUCAAAUGCUCUUCUGAGAAAAGGUGCAUGUGCCCAGAAGCUCCCUUCGUCUUUGGCCCCAUGCAAGAUGAGUCCGCUCUGCCAGAAUGAAGGACCCAUGGAACAACAUGAUCCUACUCUUGCCUCUGCAAGAGUUCAUGUCCUUGACCUCUGUCUAAGGAAAGUAGUGUGCCUCCGCUCCAUGUUCCAGCUUCUAUGCUGGCUUCCUUCAUGCGGCUUGGGUACUUCGCCAAGUUACACCCAAGUUGCUCCGCUCCUCGUUUUUGCAUUGAGUCGAUGGUGGCCCUCGCGCCCACCAUUCCACGGGUCAACCCUCCCUUGAGUCCGAUCUCCAUAUCGACUCCAAGUGUGCCUUCAUUUGAGUUGCUUUGGGUCGCUCCCCCACUUGAUCUCGCGAUGCAUCCACCAAUGCAUUCUCUCGAGCGAGAUCAUGCGACGACUCCUCGCCGCUUGCUCAGUCCAUUGAGCUUCGUGGAAUUGUUGUUUGUUGAGGUACUCCUCCUCAACAUGUGAGGUUCGUCCCACCUGAUUCUCCCUCUGGAGAGCCAGGACUUAUCCCUCCUGGAUAACUAUCUCGUUGGAGCAACAUCUCUCUUCGUUUCGGAGACCACCAUCCCCUUGGACUACUCCGAUCUGCUGAACAAACUAUGUAUUGUUUUGCCUCCUGCAAACGCACUUGCUAGAUUGCGACUCCACGUCAAUACAGCCCCCGCUGCACCCCUCUAGGCCUAGCAACAUGCUGAACUAGUUGCACCCUUCAGCCUCCUACGGACGUAUCCUUCACAUGCCGAAGAGAAAGUUUCAAUGUUUUAUGGCGUCGAGUUUUGGUCGCCUUGGGAUGGCCGCGAACAUUUCAUCGUCCGCAUACAAGCCCAUGCAUGAGUACCGAAUUCUUUGAGUUAGCAAUUCCCCUCACCUCUGUGUGCUUUGCACAACUCUUUCGGUCGCUGAACAACUCAUUCCACCUUGCAUGGUCUCAUCCUUUACCAAGCGCCUCGCUCGUCUUGAGCACCAUCAAGUAUAGUUGUCAACGUUGAGCCGUAGCUCAAACUCAGCCAUCCCAACCUUUGUGCGCUCCGCAUUCUUCCAAGCUUGUCUGUUCUCGUGGUGCCUCUUGCGCGAAGGGUUGGCCAUUCCUCUGAAUGCUAAUGUCAGAUACCCGCUCCUCUGAGCGACUUCUUUUCCCUACAUCUCUAUGCCCGUUUUCCCCCAAACGGUCGCGCGUGUGCUGACUGCCCUCAACGCAGCCCAGCUAGGUCCCCCACGUUUGCAUGCUAAGUGUUUCUAUGAGUGCUUGUCCCGCUCUGAUACCAUCUGUCACGGACUUAGCUGGUUUUGCCUAAGUCGUGCGGCACCCUUGCGUGUCCGUUCACAAAGGUCAGCCUCCCCGAAGCCUCCCAUGUCCCUUAGGACCCACAAAAGAGAGAACGGGUUAGAGAAAAUGCCUCAUUUGGUAUCCACAAGCAAACAUUUUCGAAAACACUUCAUAGACAAUGCAAAUUACAAACAGGCUUUACAAGCUCUGAACAGUUGCUCAACAAAGGGUAAAAUGGUCCAUUACAGACCGAUAAUCUCUCACAUGUGUCCACAUGACACAACCUUUAUUUACAAGCCUAAAGCGGCCACCAACCUAACUAAAAUGAGACUAUUAAGCAUUCGGCCGUCCCUCUACAUGCUGUACAAAGCAUGAACAUACCAAAAGACACGGACAUAUAUAAGCAGUACAUCAAACAUCCUGUUUAGAAGUUUGUCCGUAAUAGUGAAUAGUAACAAAUGAAUGUUUGGCUUCAGUAGAAGAUUUAUACAUGUCAUGGAGACUAUGUUUUACAUGGCAAGUAAAAGUGCUGUUUUAGGGGCACUUUUGGCUUUUAUAACUAAUUUAUAUGGUGGUGAGCUGCAAGUUUAUGUAUAUUAAUUCAAGAUGAAGAUGUUCAUGUAAUCGUGAGAUGGUAGUGAGGCCUGUGAGCAUUUGACAUGUACAUGUAUGUGAGAGUCUUAGGAGAACCAUGUUAUGUGUGAUUGAUCUGGCUUCAUUAUUCGAAAAGUCCUUGACGCGUAAACUUGUGCACCAUGUAGCACAUAAAAAAUCCUAUCUUGAGUGAUUCUUUGGCUUUUCCUGCUGUUGGAAGUUAGAUCUACAAGUCAUGUUGGUCACUUUGGUGCAUCAAGCAUUGUGAUGUAAGUGCAUACAGAUCAAACAAAAAUUGAAAUUAUGCACGUAAUGAUGCGGAAAUAAUUUCAUUUUUGUCACUAUGUUUUAUUAUUUGAAACUGGGAUGAGACAAAUCCAUCAAUUUUAGAAAAUGAGAAGAUUUAGGGUCUUUCAGUGGAAAUCUGCAGAAACAAGCCUCAUCCCUUCUAUUUGUGGCUAGUACAUUACUCAUUUUGUGUUUCUUCUUCAUUUGAUAUUCUACUUGACCAAAGGUCCAUAACUACUUUGAUUUUCUUGGCUUGUAAGUGGUUUGGUGGAUUAAAUAUAAGGUUGUUUUGGUCCUGGACCAUAUUUUUAGCAGAAAAUGCUUAUGCCCUUAAUUGGAAGUCAAAUUUAUUUUUCUUAGAUUUUCUUUGUUGAGCAACUCUGAUUUAUCUACUACUACUUUUUUGCAGAUAUGUAGAGCACUUGCUUACAUGCAUAAUGCUGUUGGCAUAUGUCAUCGAGAUAUCAAACCACAAAAUUUACUUGUGAGAUUCUUCUUUCUUAGCCCUAUUAAGUUAAACAUAUGUCUGCAUAUGCUCUAUUUAUCUAUUUCUUUUGCAUCCAAGCCUCCAUCAAUAUUUGCUGGUUUCUGCAAACACAAUGCUAAAGGAGGAAGUACAUACUAAUGAUCUAAUUAAUAUGCAUUUUGUCUGGGCCUUGGAUGAUAUCCAUCACAAUACAAUUGAUUUCGCUAUUUUAAUCCUAAAUUGUGUUCUCUUUCCUCUCUUAGUAAGCAUAUCAAAUUAGUAAGUACUGUGACAAUUUGUUGUGCUUUCCUCUGUUAGCAUAUCAGAUAUUAGAAUGCCAAAUUGCAAUUUGUUGUUUUUACUUCUUAAAAUGUUUAUCUGAUUGGUUUUUCUAUUUCGCCUCCUAUCAAAAUGAUUAAACCUUCAUUAAUUGUCAUUGGUCACAAACUUUUGAGAUUUCGAUCUCAUAGACAUAGCAUAACUUUGAUAAUUUUGGGACUAAAAUCAUUCUAGUUUUUUUAACCUUCUUUUGGUUUAGAAAGUGUUGGACCAAAUCUAGCCAACAUCUAAAAAGAUAAUAUUUGAAGUAAGUAUGUUCCUGAAACAACUAUUUGAAGAAAUGACAUACAGACACAGCCAAGGUUGAAAUCUACUUUGAAUAUGUAGUAACAGCCUCUAUGAGGAUGGAUAGUUGUUGACAAUUCAGGGAAGUAUUUCUACAUAUGCAUAGUUAAACCAUAGUAGCUAAUGCAGAUCUACAUUUGUGGAUUCAAAACGUUUUUAGCAGACUGAAGGUAUGAAAUGGUACCCUUUGGUCAUUCUUUUUUACCUUUUCUUCCUGGUGUCUCAGCAAUUUCACCUGAAACUAUUUGAAAUGAACAAUCCAAGGAACCAGACAGUUAAACCAAGGUUGAAUAGGAAGACUAAAUUGAACAGUUCAUUAACAUGAUACAUCACAGAAAAAAACAAAGUAUAUCUGUGUCCAUAAUUGAGGGCACUUUGUUGGGAGGAAACUUGUUGCUGAAAGUUUGUAUGUAACAUAAGCUCUCUGGCAUAUUCAGUUGAUAGUGAUGGAUCAUGGGGUGGCUUAUAGACUAUGUGACAGUUAUGUAUCUGUCUUAUUUAAGGAGCAUACACUUAAAAUCUAGAUGUGAAAAACCCACACAGAUUAUGGUAUAUUAGUGCCAUGUUACACCUGUCAGCAUGGCCAAGCUGUGUUUUGACGGCACAAGAAGAACAAAAAGGGAAUAGAAGGAAGACUCAAAUUCUGAGAUGGCAAUCCAUGCAUCAAAUUCUAAAUUAGUAGAUUUGAUGAUAUCUACCAAAUUCCUUAGACCUUAUUGGAAUAUCACCAAGAAAAGAAGCAACUUAUGACUUUGUUUCCUACUGCUGGACAUCUUCAGCUAUUCUCUCACUUCUGGUGGCUGCCAGCAAGGAUGUGAAUUGUUUCCAGGAAAGGUGAGGCCACACUGAAGGUUCCUGUGCAUUGAGCAGAGGCAAAGAGUCCUAUAUUUGACUACGUAUCCGCAAAUGUUAGCCAAUCAUGGUUGUGAUUCUUGUGAACAUAAUAAAAAAUCACUGGUUUGGUCAAUGAUGACAAAUUUUCAUCAAAUUAUUGUAUAGUUUAUCCAAUAUGGGAAUGUUCUGAUUUUUCCAUUAUGUUAGUUUAAACUGAUACUCUGACUAAUUCCUUUACUCAUAUGUACCGAGUGAAAUUUGUGGUUGUCACUUCAUCUAUGCAUAUGCAAAUUGCUGCUUUGGGUUGGCUUCCUUUCUUUGUGUUCUAAUGGUGAAGAUGUGAGGUGCCAAUUCUGGGUGACAACCUACAUGAACAUAUGUUUAGUAAUAAUAUACUUCAUAUGUGUUUACAAAGUUUUGCACUGUUGAUCAUACAUCUGUUUAUCUGGGACUGAGACUGACCAUGUAAAGCAUAUAACAUUAUGAAUUCACAUGCAUAGUAAAGUAGAAUUAUCCAAGAAAAGUAAUGUAUUCACAGUGUAGUGGAAUAGUGAUAUUGAUGUAAAUCAAAAUAGUUAAGAUCUGAUUUAUUACUGCCUUAUCUACCAUUUAUUUCUUCUUGGUUAGCUCAUUUUGUGUUACAUGUUAAAUGUCAAUUUCAGGUGAAUCCACAUACAUAUCAACUCAAGUUGUGUGAUUUUGGUAGUGCAAAAGUAUUGGUAAGCAAUUCCUGUCUAGCUUCUCUUCUUUGUUUUGGGCCUUAAGACAAAACAAUGCUCCAAUGUGCUUUUAUUUUGUCAUAUUUUAGGUCAAAGGGGAACCUAAUAUCUCUUACAUAUGCUCAAGAUAUUAUCGAGCACCUGAGCUUAUAUUUGGUGCGACUGAGUAUACAACUGCGAUCGACAUGUGGUCCACUGGUUGUGUGAUGGCUGAGUUGUUUCUUGGGCAGGUAGUUUUUUUCACUCAAUUUAAAAUAUGGUGUCACAAAUAUUGUGGCAAAUACUAAAUACUAAAUUACUGUAUCUGGUGCCUUAAUAUUUUCUAAUGAUUUUGAUUAUGUGGGCACAUGGCUGUUUUAGCCCCUAUUUCCUGGAGAAAGUGGUGUUGACCAGCUGGUGGAGAUUAUCAAGGUAGGAUAAUAAACAAAGUACAGAAAUUGUAAUUCAAGUGGUUUUCCUGAUACCAAUUAUAUUCUUGGAUAUGUCUUAAGGUUCUUGGAACACCUACAAGAGAAGAGAUAAAGUGCAUGAAUCCAAACUAUACUGAGUUUAAGUUUCCACAAAUAAAGGCUCAUCCAUGGCACAAGGUAAUCUCGAAGUUGUUUUUAUGUUAUAUAGAGUUUAUCCAUUCUAUAUCACCAAAUAUGAUUGAUAAUUAUUUCUUGUUUGAAUGUGCUUGCUGAUUAUAUUCAAACAACUAAAGUGCAUGAAUGUGCUUGCUGAUUCUAUCUUUGGAAUGACUUCAGUUUUAACUUUUUGCUUGAUUUAAGAAGUCAUAUUGGAAGAUGUGUUAAAGGCCUAUAGAGGAUAGAUCUAAUGAACCUAAAAAAAAUUAUUUUGAACUUUAUAUAUUAUUAUAAAUGGUACAUUUAGAUAGUUUUAGACAUCACGAGAUAAUUUGUACUCAUGAUGUUUAGUUUGUAGUAGAGAUGCAAUCAGGGAAACCUUUGUGAGUCAAGAGUUAAUAAAAAUAGGUAAAAGUAUAAGACUUGAAAAUAUCCCUAAUGCGGAUUAUGGUAGUUUAUGAGAUCAAAGGAUAAUUUGGUUAACUAGUUUGUUUAAUAAAAUAUUAAAAUAAAAAAAAUGAUAUUCAAAGUUCUUUUCUUAAAACUAAUUUCCUUCCAUUAUAUUAAACUACGUAGAAGAUGUUGUUACACAGACUUGAACCUAAGACCUAUCAUCUAUGUGCUAACCAUCAAGAUGUGACAGAUAUUGAAAGUUACACUUGGUAUAGGGGAAUUAGGCUAAUGUUAUAUUAUGAAAUUGUAGAAAAAGAUUAUUAAAUGAAGAAUAAAAUAUGAGAUGAAUAUUUUCAAAAAAUCAGUUUUGUUUCGUACUUGAAAGAUCCACUGUGGAAGUUAUUUAGAUGAUAAAAUAAUAAGAAAGAAAAGAUCACAUAGAUUUUUCUUUAAUAUAGAAAAGCUUAUGAUGGUUUCUAGAGAUUUGUUGUAAUGGAUUUUAGAAAAUAAAAAAUAUUUUGUAAUAUAAUUUAAUAUAAUAAAAAAAAUUGAUGAUAGAGUAGUGAAACUAGGAGUUGUUCCUAGUGAGUUGAAUAAUGAUAUUGUUUCUAUCCAAGAAUCAACUUUAAGUUUCUAUCCAUUGAUAUUGUUAAUGAUUGAGUUUCCACGAUGUAACAUGUUUGCUAAUGAUAUUGUUUUGAUUGAUGUGUUGCGGUUAGUUCUAGUUUUUGAGUUAUGAAGACAUUCUUAAGAAAUAAAAGGUUUUAAAAUAUGAGCAAGGCAGUAUAUGAGAUAUAUCUGCAGCAAUGCUAAUGGAAGAACCGAGGGUGAAGUUAAGAUUGAUAAUAAAAUGUGUUUUAUAAGUACAAUUUUUAGGUAUCUUGGAUCCUUUAUUUAUAAGCAUUCUCUAUUGAUGAAAAAUAGGAUGUUUAAAAUAAAAAGAACCUUGAGGAGUUUAGUGUGAUCAUCACAUGCUAAAAGAAAUUUUUAUAAGACAAUUGUGCAGUUAGCAAUUUUCUAUAGAUCAAAAUAAUAGAUAGUAAGGAAACAUGUAUAAAAUGUUAGAAUAGCUGAGCUGAGAACAUUCAAGUGAAUUGUCACGGACUUAGCUGGUUUUGCCUAAGUCGUGCGGCACCCUUGCGUGUCCAUCCGCAAAGGUCAGCCUCCCCGAAGCCUUUCAUUGUCCCUUAGGACCAACAAAAGAGAGAACGGGUUAGAGAGAACGCCUCAAUCGGAAUCCACAAGCAAACAUCUCCGAAAAUACUUCAUAGACAAAGCAAAUUACAAACAGAUUUUACAAGCUCUGAACAGUUGCUCAACAAAGGGUAAAAUGGUCCAUUACAGACCGAAAAUCUCUCACACGUGUCCACAUGACACAACCUUUAUUUACAAGCCUAAAGCGGCCACCAACCCAACUAAAAUGGGACUAUAAAGCCUUCAGCCGUCCCUCUACAUGCUGUACAAAGCAUGAACAUACCAAAAGACACGGACAUACAUAAGCAUUUCAUCAAACAUCCUGUUUAGAAGUUUGUCCGUGACAUUCUCCCCCACUUCUUCCUUCGACGUCCUCAUUGAAGCCUUUGCCGACACUGCAACUCCUCGCCUUUGCUGAGUCUUCAAUCUUCUGCUCUAGCUACAAUGCGCCUCUUGGCUCCCAGCUGCUCUCCGUUGCUGUUUUUGAGUAGUCGAACCUUUGAUCCGCCAUGCUGCUUCAACUCACCAAUGACUUUGACUCUGGUGUGGGGUUGGCUGAGUUGUGCUGAUCCUUGUUGAUUCCUGCGGAUCUUCCAAAUGAAGGAAAAGACCAUUCUUACUGCGUCAGUUUCUCAAAUGCCUCAUGCUCUUUGAACUGGGUGGAUGCUUGUUGGAGCUUUUAACGAGCAUCGUCUCGCAAACUUCUGAAGUUUUGAGUCCUUCCUCCACAAAAUUUGCUCAUUGACUCUUCUUUCACUUAGUUGUCACAUCCAAGUAGGUUCGCAUCACUUCCGCUUUCGAUUGGCAUUUCGUUGGAAAAUGAAGCGGACAAUCUACUCUCAGUAACACUGAUCACCAUUGGUAAGGAUUUGACAACUAUUGCCUUCCAUUAUCUUCGAAAGGUCUUUGAACAUAUGCAGAGCUCCUCUGCUGGAUAGAUAAGAGAAUUGGGGUACUCGGUUUCGCCCAUUCUCUUAAGAGUUGAGAAGGCAAAGGUUACUUGACUUCGCCCGCCUCCUCGAGGUUGUACUCCAUACAUCGAGCUGGUUAUUGGCCUUCGCCUGCUCUUUGCUCACACUUCUGAAGCACUUGAAGUGUUUGCACUCCUUGCGUUGAGUUAGCUACUAUGAUUCACCUUCUCAAUGCCAUCGAACUUCUGGAAUGCAGGAAGUUUUCACCCCAACUUGGAGUAAUUCUCUAAUAGAUUUGGUCGCCUCUGGGAUUGUACCGUCUUCUCCAUCAACCCUGUCGCCUACUCCCCUGAGUAGCGAAGGUACAACACCACGUACUGCCUACUUCGUUCCUUGGUCAUGCACUCUUGCAUGACCCGAGGUCCUUCACUUUCCGCUAUCUUGAUGAGAAACUCAUUGACACUGGUCUUACGAAGUUCCUUGGCCUCUGCCCUUCAGCCUUGUCUCGGUACUUGGAGUUUGCCUCUGCAUGCUCCACCUCCUCGGCCCCUUUCACGACCAAGCGCUCUCCCUCCAUGAGAGCAAGGGAUCAAUGACUUUCACGGAAGUCCCGCCUCUGCGGUACCAUGGCACUGCCAUGCCCAUGGCACUACUAUCCGUCGCCUCGCAUCUGUAUCCUUUUUCUUCACAAUCAGUAGAUAUGCCUCUGUGGUACUCCUCCGAGUCCACCUCCAUUCUAACUGAUGCUUGAUUUUGGGUAGCUAAGUCUCUCUGGACUCGUUGUCGCUUCCUCACCCCUUUCGACCCCCUGCUUCAACACCUCUGUGUUCUCCAAGCAGCUCCCUUUGGUCGAUGGAAAGACAGACUGCAACUCCCAUGCAUGGCCUCUGCCAUUACGUUGUAAGGUUUGCACCGAUUCUGUUCUCCUUAGCUUCCUUGGUAGCAACGUUCGCUUACUCGACCUUAUCCUCUGACUUGUCGGGUUCCCUUAAGCGAAUAUGGGCUCUGGAGCAGUCCAACUCUCCAGCUGCUUCAAUCAUACCUCUGCAUGAUCAAGUCCCUCCCAUGGGACUCACUGGUACUUGCAUUCGAACUUUUCCCUUGGUGGAACACAGCCCCCAUAUGAUGAUGACCAAGGCUUUCAUCCGAUGCAAAAUUCGAUGCAUGCACGGAAGACCUGCCUCUGCAGUACCAUGGCCUUCACUCCUUGAAUCCAUAGUCAUUCUUGUCGUCGUGUUGUUCAUCGAAGUGGAGCUUCCAGUGGCUCCCGAUCAUACCUCUAUAUGAUCUAGUCCCUCCCGGGACUAGAUUAUGUGUAUCGCAUUGCCACGAACUGUUCCACCACGAUCCGCUGCAUCAUGUCGCCUCUUGGUGACAUCUCUGUUACAUUCUGAUCCUUGUGGAAUGAACUCGAAUUGUGAACCCUUCAUGUAUGGCCUCUGCCAAUACAUCACAGGGUCUCUUCCACCUUCGAUUUUGUUCGCUCCUUUGGCAAUCGAUCUUCAUCCACCCACUCUUGGGUCACACCUAGAUGAAGCACCGCUCUAGGACAGUUCGUCGCCUAGUAGCUCCCGAAGUCCCCCGACUUCGCUGCAAUUAGUGCACCAUUGUCUGGAUCCUAGGCCUCUACCCCUACCAGCACAAUCUUCGUUGCGCACCGCUUCCUUUAUAGCAACUUGAAUGACAACACUGUGGCAUAUUCUUCAAGAGUAUCCGCCUGUUCUCUUGCCCCGUGCUAAGGCCUUCUGAACCCAACUUCGCCUCCGCAAAUUGAGUCGCCUUAGUUCCUCCAUCAAAUGCUCCUCCGAGAUAAAGUGCAUGUGCCCAGAAGCUCCCUUUGUCUUUGGCACCAUGCAAGAUGAGUCCGCUCCGUCAGAAUGAAUGACCCAUGGAACAACAUGAUCCUGCUCUUGCCUCUACAAGAGUUCAUGUCCUUGACCUCUGUCCAAGGAAAGCACUAUGCCUCCGCUCCAUGUUCUAUCUUCUAUGUUGGCUCCCUUUAUGCGACUUGGGUACUUCGCAAAGUUACACCCAAGUUGCUCCGCUCCUCGUUUUUGCAUUGAGUUGUUGGUGGCCCUUGUGCCCACCAUCCCACGGGUCAGCCCUCCCUUGAGUCUGAUCUCCAUAUUGACUCCAAGUGUGCCUUCAUUUGUGUUGCUUUGGGUCGCUCCCCCACUUGAUCUCGCAAUGCAUCCACCAAUGCAUACUCUCGAGCGAGCUCAUGCGACGACUCCUCGCCGCUUGCUCAGUCCAUUGAGCUUCGUGGAGUUGUUGUUUGUUGAGGUACUCCUCCUCAACUUGUGAGGUCUGUCCCACAUGAUUCUCCAUCUGGAGAGCCGGGACUUAUCCCUCCUGGAUAACUGUCCCGUUGGAGCAACAUCUCUCUUCAUUUUGGAGACCACCGUCCCCUCGGACUACUCCGAUCUGCUGAACAAACUGUGCAUUAUUCUGCCUCCUGCAAACGCACUUGCUAGAUUACGACUCCACGUCAAUACAGCCCCCGCUGCACCACUCAAGGCCUAGCAACAUGCUGAACUCGUUGCACACUUCAGCCUCCUACGGACGUAUCCUUCACAUGCCGAAGAGAAAGUUUCAAUGCUCCAUGGCGCCGAGUUUCGGUCGCCUUGAGAUGACCACGAACAUUCCAUCGUCUGCAUACAAGCCCAUGCAUGAGUACCAAAUUCUUCGAGCUAGCAAUUCCCCUCACCUCUGUGAGCUUUGCAAAACUCUUUUGGUCGUUGAGCAACUCAUUCCACCUUACAUGGUCUCAUCCUUUACCAAGCGUCUCGCUUGCCUUGAACACCAUCAAGUAUAGUUGUCAACGUUGAGCCGUAGCUCAAACUCAGCCAUCCCAACCUUUGUGCACUACGCAUUCUUCCAAGCUUGCCUGUUCUUGUGGUGCCUCUUGCGAGAAGGAUUGGUCAUUCUUCUGAAUGCCAAUGUCAGAUGCCCGCUCCUCCGAGCGACUCCUUUUCCCUACAUCUCCAUGCCUGUUUUCCCCCCAAAUGGUCGCGCGUGUGCUGACUGCCCUCAACGCAGUCCCACUAGGUCCCCUACAUUUGCAUGCUAAGUGUUUCUAUGAGUGCUUGUCCCGCUCUGAUACCAUCUGUCACGGACUUAGCUGGUUUUGCCUAAGUCGUGCGGCACCCUUGCGUGUCCGUCCGCAAAGGUCAGCCUCCCCGAAGCCUCCCAUUGUCCCUUAGGACCAACAAAAGAGAGAACGGGUUAGAGAGAACGCCUCAAUCGGGAUCCACAAGCAAACAUAUCCGAAAACACUUCAUAGACAAAGCAAAUUACAAACAGACUUUACAAGCUCUGAACAGUUGCACAACAAAGGGUAAAAUUGUUCAUUACAGAUCGAAAAUCUCUCACACGUGUCCACAUGACACAACCUUUAUUUACAAGCCUAAAGCGGCCACCAACCCAACUAAAAUGGGACUAUAAAGCCUUCGGCCGUCCUUCUACAUGCUGUACAAAGCAUGAACAUACCAAAAGACACGGACAUACAUAAGCAUUACAUCAAACAUCCUAUUUAGAAGUUUGUCCGUGACAGAAUGUACGGGAUUUAUAGAAAACAAGGUUUGUCUUACCGGUUCGUACCGAUGUACCCAUCAGCCGGUGGUAUGAUAUGUAUUGCUUCGUACUGAUGUACCAUGUGUCAGUACGGUGAGGCAUACCGAAGGCAUAGAAAAAUGGUCAAAAGUAGCUCCGAAAAUUUCUAAAAAUAGAAAAAAAAAAUUUAUAUUAAGAUUUUUAAAUUAUAAACAAAUAUAAAUUUAGCAUACUUUAGCAAAAGUAAUCUAAAUUAGAAAAUAAUAGUAAAUUGUUAGAUUAUUUACUAAAUAAUUUAAACUUUAAGAUUCAAAUGAAUUAGGUAAUUGGUCGAUGAAUAUAUCUGGUUCUAUUGUCAAAAAGAACGACGGGACUCCAUGGGUGGUGGAUCAGGGUUUUCAAUCCUACGUAUCUAUCAAUUUGAUAUGUUUAUCGGACCCAAUCCCGAAAUUGAUCCUAUGACAUAGCAAGGUUCGCAAUACCGAACCGUACCGUACCGGUAUUUCGACCUGGGCUCGGUAUCGGUACGGUACGGUAUACUGAGCGGUACACCCAGGUGUGCCGAGUACUGUAGCAAUGCUACAGUGCACUCGGACCGGUAACAGGCGGUCCGUGUACCGACAACCUGUCGGACCGGUAUGUACCGCCCAUAUCGGGCGGUACGGUUCGGUACAGCAGACCCUGUGACAUAGUAUACUGAUACAUCAUAUGUCAUUAGUGCAUCAAUGUGAUAAUGAUCGUAGUCGGAUCAUCGUGAACCACACAUGUCUGAGGUAGCUCCUGAUGUAAGUACGAUUGUAACAUAUAUUAGUGCGGAGCAUUGAGAAUGUUAGAAUUUCUACUUUUGUUACUGAUCUGUUGCUUUGUAUCAUAAAAUCGAUCACCGUACUGUUACUUGAAAAAGAAUGACCAACUAUCACCUCGAGCUCCAGGAUCUGAAUCUUGGGUGGUAUACAUAAAGUACUACUCGAUCCAUACACUGCUCUCAAACUGUGUAGACGGGACUAUUGACUCCCCGGUGUCGCCACCAUCAUCGGUCAACGCACUAUUGUCUACAUCAUUGCCAUGUCUCUGAACCGAGCAGGUUGUUGAAUGCGAUUGAGAAGUUGUCUACAUACAUUUGAUUAGAAAGUUCUUCCCCUAACUUAGGUGUUAAUUCUCCCUAAUUAGCCUCAAUUUUGAUCCAAUCUAUAAUUACAGCUUUAUAGAGUUCAAGAGAGUGCAAAUAAGAGAAUGAAAGAAAUAUGUGAGUGAAAAAGUGAUUGCAAGAGUAGAUUAAUUAGAGAGAGUGAAAGGGGAGGGAAUGAGGGAGUAGAAAAGGUUUAAAAACCCUUAGAAACAAAUCUCAGCCAUUGAUCGAUAUCGGUCAAAAUCUAACCACCAAUCGGUAAUGGUUGAAUUUUGACCAUUCCGACCGGUACAGAUCCCGUAUCAAGAGAUACGGGGUCCCUUGUUAUGGACUGCCUGAUACAAGACGGUCCACGUGCUGGUCCCCUAUCAGACCAGUAUGUAUUGCCCGAAAUAGGUCGGCGACGGACGAUGCUAGAAAAUAUAGAAUAACAAAUACAAUUAGGUGUAGCUCUUUACGAAUAUAUGCCCCAUAUAGAUGAGGCUAGUUUAUCAGUAUCUGUGGUGACCAGAAUUAUAGAAAGAGGCAUUAGACAACUUUGCUAUGAAGGAUAGCUUGGAAGGAUAGAAGGAAAUUCUGUUGUAGUUAGUUUAACUAAUAAUAAUAUCUUACACAAAGCUCAAUGAUGGAAAAAAGAUGUUAUAGCCAACCACAUAUACUUGGCCAUUAUGGCAUUUUCUUCUUGUUGUAGUUUCACACUUGAUUUCAUCUAUUGCUCAAGAUGAUGAACCCCAGCUGAACUAGAGUUGCAUCCAAAUCGCACCAUGAUCAGACCAGCAUGCAUAUCAGUGCACAUGAGUGAGCCAAAUAAUAAAACAAACUGUUGAAAUCCAUGUGGAAGAAGUUUUGACCCAUCUCCUGAGUUGGAAUGGAUGCGAUUUUUUAAUAUGUGCAAAUUUAAAAACUUAUUUCAUGAAACACAGUCUUUCAUAAUUCAGGAUUGAACAGAUCUAAGGCCCCUUCGAGAGAAUCUACUUGUUCUUUAUGGGUAGUUCUAUUAGAAAUCCUGUGGUCAUACUGCACAUUUCUGUUGACAUAUUUAACUGUAUUGUAUAAGGAUGGACUAACCUGCAUCAUCAUGCAUCAUGAAUGCUUGUUGGUUUCAAAAACAUCAGCCACCACUUCAAAGAGUAUGCUGUUGAUUAUCUUUAAUGGUCGAAUAAUCUUUGUGGUACUUUUUUAAGUUUGAGAUAUAAGCAAAGUUCACUGGCCAUUUGCUUAUUGGGAAAUCAAAUAGCUUUGUGUAUGCAGCCAGUUCAAAUAUUACUGUUUUUGUAAUGAUAUAAUUUAGUACCUCUGGAGAUCUUAGUUUUAUCUAACCUCUUGGGUGCUUCAGGUUUUCCAAAAGCGGUUGCCGCCAGAAGCAGUUGACCUUGUUUCUAGAUUUCUUCAGUACUCACCAAAUCUGCGGUGCACUGCUGUAAGUUUACAUCAGAUUAUGCUGGUUAUAUUUGUCAGAUGUAGUGUGCUUGUAUGGCGUCUAAUAUUGAAAUUGUGAGUUUCUGCAGCUAGAAGCCUGCUUGCACCCUUUCUUUGAUGAGCUGAGAGACCCAAAUACUCGUCUCCCCAAUGGUCGACCACUUCCUCCUCUCUUCAACU